CACCCUUCACAUUGUCCAAGUGUAUUCUCUCAACUAAGCCAAGUCAAUCAGGUAUUAUGGACAUUUUAUUUACUAAACUUGUCAUAACAUUUGUUAUCCACAUUACAGCUUUUUAUACUUUGUUUUUUCAUACCAGGGUCAAAAAGUUCCUAUAGUGAGUCCUUUUGGAUUACCAGUAGCUUAUUAUGGGUACCAUCAACCUAAUAUUAACAUAUACCAGCAAAAUUCCUUGAGCAUCAGAUCUCAGGGUAGCUUUGUUACUAGCGGGAGUUAUUUUGGAGUACCUGGUGGAAGUUGGGUAGCUGGCACCAGUGGAUCCAUGAAUGCACACCAUCUGCCUCUUGUGGGUGCCAAACAGGCAUCAACUGGUAACAACAAAAUUAUUCGAGGACCAGCGCUUGCCUAAGUUUGGAGGGCAACGGGUUCGAUGUCAAUGUUAGCUGCAUUGCUGUUUGAAGGGCAGAAUAGUUGUUUUGUGCUAUGAAUGUAUGUGGGAUUUCUUGGAUGCAGAAUAUGAGAUAUUGUACUAUGGAUAUAUGGGGUCUUUUUGUUGUAUGCAAGUCUACUCACCUUUUGCGCAUGUUAGAUUUGUUGAAUGCGAGGAUAGCUCUUUUCCAUCAUUUCUUGUUGUAAGAUGUGGAGCUUACUAUUGGUCUUGUGCUAGGGUUUGUAAGGCUAUUCCACUUUAGUUCAGAGGUGGUGUUUUUUUGGUGUGUUCGAGUUUGCCCAUUGUUGGUUAGAUUGUGAUAGUUUGUGUGGCAGUUUUGUCGAAGCUGUCUAAGUGCUUAGACCUCUCGCCUAUUGUCUUAUUUUGUUUGUUUAUGUUA